rnacentral:rRNA from 1 species
GAUCCUGGCUCAGAUUGAACGCUGGCGGCAGGCCUAACACAUGCAAGUCGAACGGUAACAGAAAGCAGCUUGCUGCUUUGCUGACGAGUGGCGGACGGGUGAGUAAUGUCUGGGAAACUGCCCGAUGGAGGGGGAUAACUACUGGAAACGGUAGCUAAUACCGCAUAACGUCGCAAGACCAAAGAGGGGGACCGUUCGGGCCUCUUGCCAUCGGAUGUGCCCAGAUGGGAGUUAGCUAGUAGGUGGGG